CCUACGGGAGGCAGCAGUAGGGAAUUUUCCGCAAUGGGCGAAAGCCUGACGGAGCAAUACCGCGUGAGGGAUGACUGCCUAUGGGUUGUAAACCUCUUUUUUCAGGGAGGAAUAAAUGACGUGUACCUGAAGAAUAAGCAUCGGCUAACUCCGUGCCAGCAGCCGCGGUAAGACGGAGGAUGGCAAGUGUUAUCCGGAAUCACUGGGCGUAAAGCGUCUGUAGGUGGCUCAACAAGUCAACUGUUAAAUCUUGAAGCUCAACUUCAAAAUCGCAGUCGAAACUAUUGAACUAGAGUAUAGUAGAGGUAAAGGGAAUUUCCAGUGGAGCGGUGAAAUGCGUAGAGAUUGGAAAGAACACCAAUGGCGAAGGCACUUUACUGGGCUAUUACUGACACUCAGAGACGAAAGCUAGGGUAGCAAAUGGGAUUAGAUACCCCAGUAGUCCUAGCCGUAAACAAUGGAUACUAGGUGUUGAACAGAUCGACCUGUGCAGUACUAAAGCUAACGCGUUAAGUAUCCCGCCUGGGAAGUAUGCACGCAAGUGUGAAACUCAAAGGAAUUGACGG
rnacentral:rRNA from 1 species